CACUGAGAUCUGCCUGCCUCUGCCUCCCGAGUGCUGGGAUCAAAGGCAACGCGCGCCACCACUGCCUGACCUCUUUUUUUUGUUUUGUUUUUUUUUUACCUUCGUCCCCUUACUAGCCAUACAAAUUCAUUUGUUUUAUUCAGAGCACAACAUAAUUAUAUAGUCAUUUUAAAUUUUUUAUUGCUGCUGCUUAAAAUAAAGUUGGGAAAAAUGCUCAUAUAGUACAUGAACUCGACAAACUGGACCUUGUGAGCAUUAGUGAGAUAAUGCAGUGUCCAAUUUCCCUGUGGAUAAAUUGUUCACUGUGAGUCUCUAGGCUGUCAACGAAAGGAUCAACUUAUCCAGUCACUUACCUUUCCUACUGCCUUUCCUUGUAGGUAACCUGGCCCUGGAUGUCAAGAAACCAUCUCAAGGGGCAGGGUUAACAAUGUUUGGAUCUUUGCAAAUGGGAUUUUGCUGGCAGAAUUGCAUUCUGCAAAGGAACUAACAGGACAGAGGUGUGAAAAGAUAUGGGAGAUGAUUGAUGAAACUCACUGGGCAGGAGGUGCUGAUGGACUGUCACUGUUGGCUAUCAUGAGCCUUUGUCCUCAGGAACAUAAAGAGCAAGUUCAUGCUUAAAGGAUGAGAAGAUGAAGACAGAUAUCGAUCCUUACCUAAUGAUUGAAAGAAAACUGAAUAACGGCAUUCGUAGAGAGAAAACAGAUACUGCCGAACUGCUGGAAGACUGUGCAAAACUUCAAGAAUCUCUGCUCCUUUAAUGACCUGAGUAUUGAAAAAAAGCAAAAGCCAAAACCAAUAAACACAUUGUAAUGACUUCUGUGUUUUUAAAAUAGAAAAGCAUGAAACAGUC